rnacentral:rRNA from 1 species
GACGAACGCUGGCGGCGUGCUUAACACAUGCAAGUCGAACGGAAAGGCCCUGCUUUUGUGGGGUGCUCGAGUGGCGAACGGGUGAGUAACACGUGAGUAACCUGCCCUUGACUUUGGGAUAACUUCAGGAAACUGGGGCUAAUACCGGAUAGGAGCUCCUGCUGCAUGGUGGUGGUUGGAAAGUUUCGGCGGUUGGGGAUGGACUCGCGGCUUAUCAGCUUGUUGGUGGGGUAGUGGCUUACCAAGGCUUUGACGGGUAGCCGGCCUGAGAGGGUGACGGGCCACAUUGGGACUGAGAUCGGGCCCAGACUCCUACGGGAGGCAGCAGUGGGGAAUAUUGCACAAUGGGCGGAAGCCUGAUGCAGCAACGCCGCGUGCGGGAUGACGGCCUUCGGGUUGUAACCCGCUUUCGCCUGUGACGAAGCGUGAGUGACGGUAAUGGGUAAAGAAGCACCGGCUAACUACGUG